rnacentral:snRNA from 1 species
UGAUCCGUCCAGUGUACG